rnacentral:rRNA from 1 species
GACGAACGCUGGCGGCGUGCCUAAUACAUGCCAGUUGAGCGCUGAAGGUUGGUACUUGUACCAACUGGAUGAGCAGCGAACGGGUGAGUAACGCGUGGGGAAUCUGCCUUUGAGCGGGGGACAACAUUUGGAAACGAAUGCUAAUACCGCAUAAAAACUUUAAACACAAGUUUUAAGUUUGAAGGAUGCAAUUGCAUCACUCAAAGAUGAUCCCGCGUUGUAUUAGCUAGUUGGUGAGGUAAAGGCUCACCAAGGCGAUGAUACAUAGCCGACCUGAGAGGGUGAUCGGCCACAUUGGGACUGAGACACGGCCCAAACUCCUACGGGAGGCAGCAGGAGGGAAUCUUCGGCAAUGGACGAAAGUCUGACCGAGCAACGCCGCGGGAGUGAAGAAGGUUUUCGGAUCGUAAAACUCUGUUGGUAGAGAAGAACGUUGGUGAGAGUGGAAAGCUCAUCAAGUGACGGUAACUACCCAGAAAGGGACGGCUAACUACGUG